rnacentral:lncRNA from 1 species
GAUCACGACGGUCUGCGCGAUUGUUCUGCAAGGAUUUCAAAUCACUGGGCUUAUAAGAAUCAAAUCUCAAAAUGUGACAUUUGGAGCGCUCCGCUGCACAAGAGGUGGGCGAUCAACCAGGUCAGCAAGAUCUCGGUCGCGCAGGCUCCAUUUCUGGUUCCGUUCCAAAUGUAAUGCGUCCGUGCAUUAUGGCAUCAACCAUUCCUUUUUCAUCCGAGAUCAUUGCCAGCCAUUGCUCAUCGAUUCAAUGCUGCACGACAGCUAACACGUAGCAAUACUGAAGAACACGUAAGGCUAGUUCUUUAGCUUUUGCUUAUGCUUAUAUAUUAAAAUUAAAAUUUUAAGUUGAUUUGGGGUUUUUUUUUCCGUUGUACUUUAUUUUUCAGAUUUAGCUUUUAGAUCCCGAAGAACACGUAUAUAAAUGUUUUAUUCAAAAACUAUUUUUUAUUUGCAAAUAUGCUGUUUGAUUGUUUUUCCUUAGUAGAUUUGUGCUGUUUGGUUUGGAUGAUUAUGAAGCAAACAUGCCUUCUUCGCUUAGAUAAGUAGAAUACAAUUUUAGUUGUUCCUCUAUUCAGCUGUGUCAGUAGAGGGUAUAUUAAUAGCAGCCUUUUGCCAUGUGGUGAACUCGGAGAAAUCCUGCAAGAACUGUGAGCAAGAUUUCAGAAAUGCAGUGAAAGAUAGCUGUACGCGCUACACAUAUUGAUGUUUCUUUAGCAAGACGAGUACAGCUAUGGUGCGGUUUAAACUGACCAUGACCACUCAAUGAUUAGGAGAAAUCCAGAAACAGCGACGUAUAAAUCCAUGUGCAAUUAAGAACACUAUGUCGUACUUAGCUGUAAUGCUAAACAUGGUACGGCUAUCACUAGGCUGCAACCAACCAAACAUCUACGGUUAGCAUCUGAAAGUCUUGUGAAUGUCAGUACUCUGCAAGUACAGAUAUAAGUAAAGCCCAUCCAGUUCAGUAGUAGUAUGCUCCAAAAACAGUACUUAUAUCAUCGCUGAUAGUGAAAGAUAUGCAGAAAAAAACGCCUCUGCUCGAGUCCAUAUGUCUGAAUAUAUGGGCAGUUUGAUCUCAACGUCAGUGUGAAUGUGUGAUGGUAUGCAGCGUGGGGAAAUCAAGCAUAGUUUAGGGUCGAAAGCCAGCAGAUCAGCAGAUGACUGUUUCUGAGAUGUGAAGUGAGGUCACUUCUUUAACUGAAGUCUUUCUUCUUGUUCUUGUUCUUGAUGUCAUUAGACCUAGACUCACCAAGUUUGCUCCUGUCAUUCAUGGUUUGUUAAACUUGAACAUUAUUUAGUAAUUAUUCUCAAGGUCAAGUUAGAAUUGAUACCAUGUGCACAUCAGAGAGAAACAUAGAAAGAGAUUGCAUGAUGCAUUUAGCUUGCAGACGUAUUUUAAAAGACAAAACUGGAAGUACACAAUAUCCUUAAAUCUUAACCAUGUCAGGGACUUGAUAAUGCUAAGUAAAGUCCAGUUUUUUUCAGGACACGCUGUGGACCAAGCCAGCGCUGUUCUAUUAAACGCUAUCUAAGUCAGAUUACCCAGUCAUUUGCAAACCAAACUUUUCUGAAAGAAAUUUGGUGUACUACCAAAGGAAUAUAUGGACGAAGUCAGCAGUACUCGGUUCAGCAGCAAGAGGAAGAGCCAUAUCCUUCUUCCGAAAAGAGGAAGGGACAUAUCUUUACUAACGGCAUAUGUAAUGCAUGUAACAAUGACAUGAAUAUUGUACUUACCUGUCAAAAAAAGGAUUAUAAAUAAUUUGAGCGGAUCAACUUGAAGCAGUGAACAAGCCAAUAACAUAAUUUAAGGGAACAAGCCAAUAGCAUUUUUUUAAGGGAAUGAGCCAAUUAACUUCACCUUGUAAACGCAACAGCGGAGCAAGACACAAACAAAUCAAAUAUAAUCCAUUAAUCUCUGAACAUCAAACACUGGUGACACAAGCGACGCAUUUAGCAUUUUCGUAGGUACUAAAUAAUUUGUCUAUGUGAUCUAUAAAUGACAAGCUGUCACGAUUCACCUGUCCAUAUUGCUGGAUGGUGGUUAAUAUGAGCAUUGACAAGGAAAUGUUCCUGUCAGACCAUUGUGGUGUCUUAUAUGGAUGGUUUCAUAAAGAGCAAGAACAUUUUGUCACUUCGAUGUCAUUUUGAUGUCACUCUCCUAGUAACAAACAAGAACCAGAAUAGUCCAUCAAAUGCGCUAGAGUUAAUAGCAAGAAUUUCUAAGAAGCUGAAUUGACAUUUGCAUCUUGCCAUUGCAUAAUUUAAAGGCUGUCUGAAAUUCCGAGUGCCACUUCGGUUUGUCAGUGACCAUCAAAAUGAAUCUCAACAAUGUCGGCCUAGACUAGUGUAUUUACAAUUGAACUUACCAUCUGGCAUGUGCUAUUUGAAUAUUUGAUGUUUGGUUUUCACAGAGCAUUGAUCGGUCAUCGGUGCAUGCAACUCAACUUGGUCUCAGGAAAAGGUCAGUCCGUCAGUGAAAAAACGAAUUCAGGGACAAGCAGCCUGCAAUCAUCUCCAGUAUGAAAAAAAAAAAAGAUAAGAAAACAUGGCAGGUUGACAGUAGUUAGUCAAGUCUCUUCGAGCAUGCUGUAAGUACUUAGCUGAAUGGCAGGCACAAAACGAACAUUCUGAACAGUCGAAAUAUAUGCCAUAGCUCAACUCACCCAGUCUUUGACUGCUAAUGCUGUCAAA